rnacentral:rRNA from 1 species
AGUGAACGCUGGCGGUAGGCCUAACACAUGCAAGUCGAACGGCAGCACAGGAGAGCUUGCUCUCUAGGUGGCGAGUGGCGGACGGGUGAGGAAUACAUCGGAAUCUGCCCAGUCGUGGGGGAUAACGUAGGGAAACUUACGCUAAUACCGCAUACGACCUUCGGGUGAAAGAGGGGGAUCGCAAGACCUCUCGCGAUUGGAUGAGCCGAUGUCGGAUUAGCUAGUUAGCGGGGUAAUGGCCCACCAAGGCGACGAUCCGUAGCUGGUCUGAGAGGAUGAUCAGCCACACUGGAACUGAGACACGGUCCAGACUCCUACGGGAGGCAGCAGUGGGGAAUAUUGGACAAUGGGCGCAAGCCUGAUCCAGCCAUACCGCGUGGGUGAAGAAGGUCUUCGGGUUGUAAAGCCCUUUUGUUGGGAAAGAAAUCUUUCAGGCUAAUACCCUGGGAGGAUGACGGUACCCAAAGAAUAAGCACCGGCUAACUUCGUG